AACGAACGCUGGCGGCAGGCCUAACACAUGCAAGUCGAACGGAACCUUCGGGUUUAGAGGCGCACGGGUGCGGAACACGUGGGAAUGUACCCUCUGGUAAGGAAUAAUAUCUGGAAACGGAUACUAAUACCUUAUAAUGACUUCGGUCCAAAGAUUUAUCGCCAGAGGAUCAGCCCGCGCCUGAUUAGAUAGUUGGUGAGGUAAUGGCUCACCAAGUCUACGAUCAGUAGCUGGUCUGAGAGGAUGAUCAGCCACACUGGAACUGAGACACGGCCCAGACUCCUACGGGAGGCAGCAGUGGGGAAUAUUGGACAAUGGGGGAAACCCUGAUCCAGCAAUGCCGCGUGCGUGAAGAAGGCCUUAGGGUUGUAAAGCGCUUUCACCUGUGAUGAUGAUGACAGUAGCAGGAGAAGAAGCCCCGGCUAACUCCGUG
rnacentral:rRNA from 1 species